rnacentral:rRNA from 1 species
UACAGAGGGGGCAAGCGUUGUUCGGAAUUACUGGGCGUAAAGGGCGCGUAGGCGGCCAGUGCAAGUCAGUUGUGAAAUCUCCGAGCUUAACUCGGAAAGGUCAACUGAUACUGCUCGGCUAGAGUGCGGAAGGGGCAACUGGAAUUCUUGGUGUAGCGGUGAAAUGCGUAGAUAUCAAGAGGAACACCUGCGGCGAAGGCGGGUUGCUGGGCCGACACUGACGCUGAUGCGCGAAAGCUAGGGGAGCGAACGGG